rnacentral:tRNA from 1 species
GCGCCCUUAACUCAGCUGGUAGAGUAGCGGACUCUUAAUCCGUCUGUCGGGGGUUCGAAUCCCCCAGGGCGUA